GUUUCCGUAGGUGAACCUGCGGAAGGAUCAUUACCGAGUUAGGGUGUCAAACUUAUGCGCCCGACCUCCAACCCUUUGUCUACUUGACCUUAUGUUGCUUCGGCAGGCCCGCUGGUGUCCCUUUGGGGCCCGGCCGCCGGGGGUCCUCGUGGCCCCGGGUCCGCGCCUGCCGAUGGCCCCUUCUUAAACUAUUGUUAAAACGUGUCGUCUGAGUUUAUGAUUAAACAAUCAAAACAAAACUUUCAACAACGGAUCUCUUGGUUCUGGCAUCGAUGAAGAACGCAGCGAAAUGCGAUAAGUAAUGCGAAUUGCAGAAUCCGUGAGUCAUCGAAUCUUUGAACGCACAUUGCGCCCUUUGGUAUUCCGAAGGGCAUGCCUGUUCGAGCGUCAUUAUCACCCCUCAAGCCCGGCUUGUAGUUGGUUGCGGCGGCCCCCACCGCCCUUCCCAAAGAAAUGACGGCGUCUGUGAGGACUCCUGUACACUGAGCUUUCGGGCACGUACACGGCUAGAAAUCCAGGCCCGGUCGCCCUCGGCCCCCCUCGUUUUCGAGGGACCGAGAACCCCCUUUAUAUCAAGGUUGACCUCGGAUCAGGUAGGAAUACCCGCUGAACUUAAGCAUAUCAAUAAGCG
rnacentral:rRNA from 1 species